UUAAGAGUUUGAUCCUGGCUCAGGACGAACGCGGGCGGCGUGCAUAAUACAUGCAAGUCGAGCGGACAGAUGGGAGCUUGCUCCCUGAUGUAAGCGGCGGACGGGUGAGUAACACGUGGGUAACCUGCCUGUAAGACUGGGAUAACUCCGGGAAACCGGGGCUAAUACCGGAUGGUUGUUUGAACCGCAUGGUUCAAACAUAAAAGGUGGCUUCGGCUACCACUUACAGAUGGACCCGCGGCGCAUAGCUAGUUGGUGAGGUAACGGCUCACCAAGGCGACGAUGCGUAGCCGACCUGAGAGGGUGAUCGGCCACACUGGGACUGAGACACGGCCCAGACUCCUACGGGAGGCAGCAGUAGGGAAUCUUCCGCAAUGGACGAAAGUCUGACGGAGCAACGCCGCGUGAGUGAUGAAGGUUUUCGGAUCGUAAAGCUCUGUUGUUAGGGAAGAACAAGUACCGUUCGAAUAGGGCGGUACUGACGUA
rnacentral:rRNA from 1 species